GUACGCGCUCCCUGGGCUGGGCGGGGUCCCGGAGCCGGGAUUCCGCGGCGCGGGCGGGGCUGGGGGCCACUGGGAGCGCAUCCCCCGCAUUGUGUGUGCGAGACACGCUCAGAGGGAGCCGCCAGCGUGACCGCGACCAUGAGCGGAGGGAAAGGGAACAAAGCGGCCGGGGGCCUCCGGGGUCUGCAUUAUGGAGGCUGACCACAUAAUUCCAUCCUCACUCAUAUGACUGGUCACGUCCCUGCCCUGCACAACUGGCGCCCUCCUCCUCGAACCAAGAGGAGGACCCUGACUCGCCUGCCUCCCCCCCACACCCCCGGCGGAAGUCCUGCGUGGUCCGACUACCACUUCAACGUUGUCUCAGCCCUUCCACAGUCUCCCUGGACUGCCUGCCACACUCUGGCCACGCCCAGCAUCUGUCCUAACCGGUCCAGCCUCAGAGCCUUUGCAUCUGCUGUUCCCUCUGCCAGGAUCACCCUGCCCUGGCUCUCUUCACCCCCUAUUGUCUUUCAGAGCUUGGUCCAAUGUCACCUCCUGCCUAGAGUCAUCCCGUCUCUGGGCAUGUCAGUCUAGUUUACUGUCCUCGCUGCCCUCAGCCCCUGGUGUGGUCUGGUCCCUUGUUCACCUUCUGCUUUCCCCAGGGGAUCGUGAGGCCCGGUGUAAUGGGGACCUGGCUGAUGAGGCCAGCUCUGACCUAGCACCACCCUAGGAGCUCCAAAUAAAGGGACAGAACCACCCUCUGCCCAGCUAGCACCCUGGAAAGCACCCCUAGGACAUGGCACAAAAGAUCCAGGAGGAAGCAAAACCACAAACACUGUCAGGGGCCCCACAUGUUCCCCCCAUCUGGUCUGCUUAGCAGUUUCCAGAAUAACACGCCACUGGGAAAAGUGAUCGGCUGGGACCGAGUUCCUGGCCUGUUCAGCAGAAGCCAGGCCCGAGGCGUAACUCUUUGAGUGCUGGCAAAUAAGUAUGAAGAGCAAAGACGAGAAGUGGGGGAGGGAGAAGCCCUGGGGCUGACCUUUCCCCUGUUAUUAGCUUUUGCAUAAUAUUUUAUUACCUUAUACUUUUUUAAACCAAAGGGGAAGAUAAAAGGAAAAUCGCUGUUGGAGGGUACAAAAGCCCAGAGAGGGUAGGUGCCCCCAUGGGAGAGAAAACGCAGCUAUCAGUGUUGAAAAAUCAAGCACUCCCCCCAAUGCUUGCCUCCAUAAAAUCACCCUCCAAUGUUUUUUCCGAGCACCUACUGUAUGCUUAUAUGCCCAGAGAUUGAAGGGGAGCCGGGGUGGGGGUUCCCAGGGUCGCAGGCUUAGAGCAGUGAGCCCUGGUGGUUUCGGGAGAAAGAGGUGAUGGAGGCUGGGACAGGCAGGGACAUGUCACCUCGGCAGGGCCAUGUCACCUCAGCAGGGCCAUGCCCAUGGCAGAGGGUUGCGGGAGAGAGAAGGCGCCCGGAGGCGCGCGUGGGUGCCGCGCUUUUGCGCAUCACUGCCUGGCCGGGACUCGACCUCAGGCUGGUGUUCAAGGCCAGGAGGGGAGAUGGCACCGGAGGGCUCCUGGCGUGCAGGGCUGUGGGGCACCCCGGAGGCGAGAGACAAAGGCACCAUCCAGCGAGGUCCCCGCGGCUUUCACAAAGGCUCAAAGGACAGGCGGUGUGUGGGGAGGCGACGGAAAUGAGGACUGCCAAAUAAAAGGGCACGGAACGGGACAGACUUCUAACAAUAAAA
rnacentral:lncRNA from 1 species